AACCUGCCCCAUAGUCUGGGAUACCACUUGGAAACAGGUGCUAAUACCGGAUAAGAAAGCAGAUCGCAUGAUCAGCUUUUAAAAGGCGGCGUAAGCUGUCGCUAUGGGAUGGCCCCGCGGUGCAUUAGCUAGUUGGUAAGGUAAAGGCUUACCAAGGCGAUGAUGCAUAGCCGAGUUGAGAGACUGAUCGGCCACAUUGGGACUGAGACAUGGCCCAAACUCCUACGGGAGGCAGCAGCC
rnacentral:rRNA from 1 species